CUUCCCACCCCUCAGUGAGCUUCACCCCUCACGAAGGUGGUUUUCCCAGGGCGAGGCUUAUCUAUUCCACUCCGGAUGUGCUGAUCCCUGCGAUUUCCCCAAAUGUGGGAAACUCGACUGCAUAAUUUGUGGUAGUGGGGGACUGCGUUCGCGCUCUCCCCUG
rnacentral:snRNA from 1 species